rnacentral:misc_RNA from 1 species
AGCAGCCGCGGUAAUUCCAGCUCCAAUAGCGUAUAUUAAAGUUGCUGCAGUUAAAAAGCUCGUAGUUGAAUUUCGGGACCAUCAUGUUGGUCAUGCCUCAGUACGUACUGGCAUUGUUAGUUUCUACCUUCUGACGAACCAUGAUGUCAUUUAUUUGGUGUUGUGGGAAAUCAGGACUGUUACUUUGAAAAAUUGUGUUUAAAGCAGGCUCACGCUUGAAUGCAUUAGCAUGGAAUAAUGAAAUAGGACGUUUGAUUCUAUUUUGUUGGUUUCUAGGAUCGACGUAAUGAUUAAUAGGGAUAGUUGGGGGCAUUAGUAUUCAAUUGUCAGAGGUGAAAUUCUUGGAUUUAUUGAAGACUAACUACUGCGAAAGCAUUUGCCAAGGAUGUUUUCAUUAAUCAAGAACGAAAGUUAGGGGAUCGAAGACGAUCGGAUACCGUCGUAGUCUUAACCAUAAACUAUGCCGACUAGGGAUCGGAUGAUGUUAAUUUUUAAUGACUCAUUCC